GGAGGGUUCGCAUAGCGGUCGAGUGCGCGACCUUGGAAAGGUCGUAUGGGGGAAACCCCAUCGAGGGUUCGAAUCCCUCACCCUCCG
rnacentral:tRNA from 1 species